rnacentral:lncRNA from 1 species
GAAAAAUCAGCAUAUUACCCAAAUAGUCCACAUGUUAAUCUCUCAUCACGAAGGCUAAAUGAGAGCACACCGGUUAAUUUAAACUGAAUAACAGCUCUUUUUGAACACAGCAAACAAUGAAGAAAUUUCACCUGAGAGAGAACUGAAGUAGAAAAGCAAAGAAAGUGCCCAUGCUAGAGCCAAGCCCAAGCCCUAAACCUGCUCUGUGGCCAACUCCAACUCAAGCACACUGAAACUCAGCUGACCUCUGAGAAGUCCUGCCCAGGAGCAUCUAC